rnacentral:rRNA from 1 species
GAGUUUGAUCAUGGCUCAGGAUGAACGCUAGCGGCAGGCCUAAUACAUGCAAGUCGAGGGGCAGCACGGUAGCAAUACUGGUGGCGACCGGCGCACGGGUGCGUAACACGUAUACAAUCUGCCUUUAACAGGGGGAUAGCCCGGAGAAAUCCGGAUUAAUACCCCAUAAUAAUUUGAAUGGCAUCAUUUGAAUUUGAAAGUUCCGACGGUUAAAGAUGAGUAUGCGCCUGAUUAGCUAGUUGGUGAGGUAACGGCUCACCAAGGCGACGAUCAGUAGGGGAUCUGAGAGGAUUAACCCCCACACGGAUACUGAGACACGGAUCCGACCCCUACGGGAGGCAGCAGUAAGGAAUAUUGGACAAUGCCCGCAAGGGUGAUCCAGCCAUGCCGCGUGCAGGAAGACGGCCCUAUGGGUUAGUAAACUGCUUUUACACCGGAGAAAACCUCCCUUCGUGAAGGGAGCUGAUAGUAUGGUGAGAAUAAGCAUCGGCUAACUUCGU